GUCAGGAAAACUGCAGGUCUUUUGAGACACUUUCAUCUCAAAGCACAGAGUUGAACAGGCUUUCAAGGGGCAAGGGUGACCCAGACAGAAGACUGCCACGCAGAUUCUCUUGUUCCUUCCAAGGCUCUCCGGAAAACAUGAAAGCGGCUUCUGCCCACCUGGAGAGGUUUUGAGGAAAGGACUUUGAUGGGAAAACUGAGGAAUGACAAACCUUGACCCAGGCAGCCUGCCCUCUGUCCCCCUCACGCUGCUGGAUGCUUACCUGACGCUGGGUCAUUGCCAGCUUCAUUCUCUUCCUGCUGAAGGACGUUUGGAGGAGAGAUCAGACAAGGCCCGAGGACUCUGCAGAACCACGAGCCUGAAGGUGCUGGACACGAACCGGUGGGAGCAGCUCCCAGCCCAAGUCUGAGAGGGUCGGCUCGGGAGUGUCCUGGUGCCUCCUCACGCCUCAGAUACUGAAGCCCCCACCAGGUGGAAGAAGUUAACGACACGAUGACCAGGCUGCAGCCGUGACAUCAGCUGCCACAGGUCUGAGAACUGGCCUCAAAGAGAUGGGAACACACCGAUCCUGGAACUGAAGACUAACUGUACCUAAAACAAUCAAGAUGCCGCUGGUCAGACCACCGAUGACCGAUUUCAAGCUGACCGUCAGAGCUGACUGUGCUGUUUCUGCAUGCAGCCCCUCCCCCAGCCCCAUGAUUGUCAGUGGGGGGGAGGUGGCCUUUGGACAGGAGUCUCCCCUCCCCCCGAUUGCUGGCAUCUGAAAUAAAGCAAACUUUCCUCUC